UGCAUGGUGGUUUAGUGGUUAGCAUGUUCGUCUCACACCUCCAGGGUUGGGGGCUCGAUUCCUUCCUCUGCCC